UUUUCGCAGGAUCAGAAAACAAAACCAGGAGGCGCGUAAAUGUUUCUUCUCCAUGAUGUUUCUUCAAAUGUUUCUUCUGGAUGAUGAUAAGACUGUGACACGGGAUGCCACCUUUGGUCUUGUGAUGAAGCAAAGGUCAGGAAGAAGUGGGAUUAACUGGUACCCACAUCUGAGAAGGAUGUACAGGGGCACCUGCAGCCAAAUCCAAGCUUCAGAGCAGAGCGGCAGUUUGUGCUCACAGAUGGUGACGGUGUGGAGAGACGGUGGUGUUUCCUCAGAAGAACCAGCAGAGUCACUUGCUGACUGAUGUUCGUCUGCACUGCACAGAGGAAAUCAACUGACCGAGAUGGGCAGCAUAUCAGUCUUGGACUGUGUAACCUGCCGGAGCAGCACUGAAUGACCACCACACAUGAGCAUGUUCCUGCAACAUUCAGCAUCUGAUCCUUCAUCUGUGUGCUUCUGCUUUUGUGUCACAUGUCAAACAGCUGGAGAGGAAACUACACCAGUGUACUGGGAUGUUUCACCAACACACCAGAUGCUGUUCCUUCAUGGUGACAUCACCAGAGACAGCCCCGCCCACCUCAGGACCUCGCCAUUGAUCAUGAUGAUUAUAAUGAUGACAGCGAGCGGAACUAAGACUGUAAAAAUCCACGACCAGAAUGUUUCUUUCUAAUUAUGAAUGAAUACUGAGAGCCUCUUUCUGUGUUUUGUCUGUUUUGGGGUUGUUUUUUUUACCUCAUUUGUUACUAACAAAGUUCACAAACUCACACAGUUUACAUUCUGUAUGUUUCCAUCUUUACCAGCCACACUAACUGCAUUUAAGAAAAUAAUCCUUAGAAAUCGUCGUUUUUCUCUUUUGUAAUUGAUGAUAAUUCAGUGAAUAUACUGCGCUGCUUCCUUUUAUUGCGUCACACAUUGCUUUAAGUUUUUCAGUGUCCAGUUAUUUUUUACUGCUGUUUGAAUUCUCUGUAUGUUUGACCCUGUAGACUGUUUGAUGGACUGCUUGUCUUCCUGUUUGUUACCGCCGCCUGUUUUUUAAUAAAGAUUUGGAUUUCUGACUUCAA
ensembl:lncRNA